rnacentral:tRNA from 1 species
GCGCCGGUGGUGUAAGGCGAACAUCGCUGCCCGGAAAGCAGAAGAUGCGGGUUCGUGUCCCGCCUGGCGCA